ACCGCUUCUCUCCCCCAGCUUGUGCCCGGGACUGAAAUGCCAGCCCUGGAGACCCCCGUGGCCAGAUGACCCUGGCAUUGGCCGGAAGAGUGACACCCACACCCUAAACUUCCUUCAAAACCGUCGUUAAAAGCCCCGCUGGACAAACAGCCAGUAAACACAGGAAAAGAUGCCCGACGUCUAAUCUCUAGGAAACGCAGAGCAAACCACAGUCAGAUGCCACUUGACCCCGCUGGGGUGGCAGCCACCCAAACUGCAGAGGGUCUCCUGUGGGGUCGGGGCCGCUGGGGAAAGCAGAGCCCUGUACACCCCUGGCGGGAACAGAAAAGGGAUGGAGGUUCCUAAAAGUGACACAGGACUACCACAGGGUCCAGACCUGCGCCCCCGCUGGCCCAGCGGCUCUCCCCACCCCAGCCUCACUUGAGAGGCAACCCAAGGGUCUGCGGAUGGAUGGAUGCACACCAAGGAAUAUUAUUUGGCCUGAAAAAGGAAGAAAAUUCUGACCUACGCUACAGCCAGGAUGGACCUUGAGGACAAUAUCCUGAGUGAAAUGAACCAGUGCCCCAGAGACACGUCCCUCAGAUCCCACUUGGUUCCAUUUUUAUGAAGUAACUCAACUAAAACUCAUAGAAACGGAAAGUCAACAGGUGGUACCA
rnacentral:lncRNA from 1 species